AGUUUGACCGUCAUUUCGAAACUCCCCCACUUUUAAGGACUUACACGCGUAUAUACGCUUCUUCUUAACUGCUACUUGCUGAUAAAACAAUGCGCCGUAUUUUUGCAAGUUUUCAGUCGUUGAAGCCUUGGUGUGCUUUCAAAAUAAAUAAGACUUCGCAGUCAAAAAUUGUUAUAUAGGUCGAGGUAAUAAUAAAGGAAGUAAAGUAAGGUAGUGUCGUUGACAAAGUUUAUGAACUUUGAUGGAGUCAGAUUUAUAUCACAACAUUAUUAUUGUUAUUGCAAAAAUAAAUUAUAAUUGUUGCAUGAUUAUUGGGCAUAAUAAACUAUGAAAAAAAUUUUAAAAAAUAUACUGAAAAAUAAAUGAAUUGAGCGUGUUAAACUGGUUUUACAUAUAUGCGUAUAAUAUCCCUGAUAGCACAAAACUGUUAAAUGACGUUAAAAAAAUGUGUUUAAAGAAACGAAUAAAUGUAUUUUUCUAAAAGUUAAAAACACGUUGAAAAACGGUCGAAAACACGUUUAAUGCGUGUCCGUAUAAUGUAUUUUGAUCGCCCACUAUUCAGAGCUUCAUGCUUUUGACAAUAGCAUUGUCAAAAAGUUUCUUACAACGAUUUAUAAACGAUUGAUAAACAUUUUUUAUUUUUGUGAACCGCAAUACAAUUUCAAAAUUUACGGACAUUCUGAGCGUUUUUCAAGAAUUUUUUGACGCCUGUUUAUAACUUUUUGAGCGUGUGUGUGUGUCUUUUAACUAUUUAUUCUUUAUGUAUAUUUUUAAUUGUGAUGAUAUUACUAAUAAUCAUGAUAUUAUUAUAUGAAUACGCUGCGUGUAAAGAAUUGUUCUCAAAAAAUAUUUAUAUAUGCGAUACUCGGCCGAAAAUUUCAUUCUAGUAAAUAUAUUGCUUUUAAAACAAUUUUUGGAAAAAAUUAAGAACGACUAUAUGUAUACUAUACAUACUCAUAUGGAAAAUGAGCUUUUAUAUAUUCUCCGCAUUUCCUUAGCUACAAAUAACUUUUUUCUCCCAAUAUAUGUUGCUCAAUAUGUUCUAUUAUAAUUGAACAAUGUAACUAGCAUUUCUUUUUCUUGAUCUUGUAGGAUUUUCAUCCAAUUCUUUUUAUUUAAUAAUGGCAUAUCUGUAGAGAGUAUAGAUACAUUAUCGUAAUUAUCCUGCAAACGCGCGCGCGCACUUACAAAGCUCAUGUUCGUACCCGCGCGUUAUGCUCAAAUAAACUCGAUCAAAUUGGAAUAACGCCAAUUAUCAUGCAAUUUUUUAUUUACUAAAAUCCGCAAGUAUAUUAGAUAAAAGAAUAAUUAAUUUAUACUUAUAAGGUGCCUAUUUAUAUUCUAUACGCAAAGAACUACUAUUUAUAUUCUAUACGCAAACAAAAUAAUCAAGUUAUGUAUUUUUCUGAUUUUCUGAUUACGUCAAUAUAAAAAUUCAAAUAUUUUA